UACCCAUCAGAGGGGGAUAACACUUGGAAGCAGGUGCUAAUACCGCAUAACAGUUUAUGCCGCAUGGCAUAAGAGUGAAAGGCGCUUUCGGGUGUCGCUGAUGGAUGGACCCGCGGUGCAUUAGCUAGUUGGUGAGGUAACGGCUCACCAAGGCCACGAUGCAUAGCCGACCUGAGAGGGUGAUCGGCCACACUGGGACUGAGACACGGCCCAG
rnacentral:rRNA from 1 species